CUUAGACGCACACAGCUGGAAUUAUCCAAGGAAAGCAAACCUCUGACAGGCUUUUUUCUCUGCAGAACUGCAUACUUUCUUCUUUCUUCUUCCAGGAGGCUGGUGCAGCAAGAGAGCCAUGCUCUGCUUGAGAGGACAUGGCUGCCAAGAGAAGCCCAGGGACCAGUGGAUGAGACUCACUGAACUCUGGGCAUUAGAGGACAAUUUAUGUACCUGGCUACAGAAGGCUCAAUCCACUGGAAAGUCAGUGAAAUGUAUAAUUAUCCAAAUUUUUCCAGUGCAUGCCUCAGAAAUCAACAGGGGGAGGGUUUCUUGCCCACGAAGGUAUACAGGAAAAAAGCAGACUGCAACAUCUCAAAAUAUGAUCUGAUGACAUCUACUUAAUAUGGAAACCUUGUUUCUCAUGAGAGUUUUGCAGAAAAACUCUGUAUAAUUUUCAAAACAUGAAUCCAGAAUAAAAUAAUAAAAUGAAUAUGUGACCUCUGUAAUGUAGGAAAUGUUUCUUCAAAAGGAAAAUAUUGGAGCAAAUAAACAGUGCAUUAUAAUGGACAGAAUAGUUGAUGAGUAGUUGGGACGUCUGGAUUUCAGUUCUGCUUUUGACAUUUACCAAAAUGUGACGCUGGAAAAUUAUUAAGCUUAUUAGGCCUAAGAUACCUGCCAUAAGUGAGGAAAGGGCAGUACUAACAUUUCUGAUUAUAUUAUUGGGUUUGAUGAUGGAUCAAAGUGGGUAAUAGAAAAUAAUAUUUAGAAAAUUACAAACACUAUUUAUACAUAAUGUGGUUUUCUUAUUAUUGGUAAAAAUGGAGAUAAAGGACAUUCCAAAUAGAAAAAUGAUUUGAGUUAAAGAUACUAUGUCUCUUACUCAUCCUAAUUUUGUCUUAGCUAGAAAAGUAUAAGAGGAACUGAAAGGAUUAUGAAGUCAGAAAUAAUAUUACUCAUUUCAUUUAGCUGCCUAGCUAGCUCUGCAGAAAAGAAUCUGGACCAGCUUCAACAUGAGGUAUACCUUUACAAAGUACUUCAAAUUAUCUAGAAGUUUCUUAAAUAGUUGAAAAAUCAAAACUUUUAAGUUAGAUUGGGUAAGUCAAUAGAGUAAAUUGGUAACACAUCACUAAAGAAUAAUCAUUUAUCUCUGUAAUUAACCUUCAGAAACAUAACUUUAAUGUCUGUACAUGGGAAAAGUAUGGUAAUUUAUUUAACUACCUCACUAUAAUUGCACAAUUAAGAUGUUUUCAAUUUCUCUGUGAUAAAUAACACCCCAAAAAUAUUCUUGACCAUAACACGUUGAUUACUUUCCUAAGAAUAGAUUUCUUGAAAUGGAAAAACAAAGUCAAAAAACAUAAACUUCAUUAAGGUUCUUAGUAGAAAAAGUUGCCUAUUUUCUUUUUUUCCAUUAUUUAUCAUCACACAUAGCUUUUUAAUGUACAUUCAAUAAAAUUCACUCUUUGUAGUUGUAUAGUUCUAUGGGUUCUGGCAAAUGCACAGUCUUGUAUCCAUCACCAAAAUGACGAGGCAGGACAGUUCUAUCACCACUAAAAACUUCCCUUGAGGGGUCCCCCUGUAGUCAAUCCCUCCC
rnacentral:lncRNA from 10 species